rnacentral:lncRNA from 1 species
UUUUUUUUUUAAAUACGAACCCUAAACCCUAAACCAUCAAUCCUUAACCCUAAACCAUAAACCCUAAACCCUGAAACAUCAACUCUAAACCCUAAACCCCAAAACAUCAACUCUAAACCCUAAACCCUAAACCCUAAACCAUCAACUAUAAACCCUAAAACAUUAACUCUAAACCCUAAACCCUAAACUUCAACUCUAAACCCUAAACC